rnacentral:rRNA from 1 species
CUACGGGUCGCAGCAGUGGGGAAUAUUGCACAAUGGGCGCAAGCCUGAUGCAGCCAUGCCGCGUGUAUGAAGAAGGCCUUCGGGUUGUAAAGUACUUUCAGCGGGGAGGAAGGGAGUAAAGUUAAUACCUUUGCUCAUUGACGUUACCCGCAGAAGAAGCACCGGCUAACUCCGUGCCAGCAGCCGCGGUAAUACGGAGGGUGCAAGCGGUAAUCGGAAUUACUGGGCGUAAAGCGCACGCAGGCGGUUUGUUAAGUCAGAUGUGAAAUCCCCGGGCUCAACCUGGGAACUGCAUCUGAUACUGGCAAGCUAGAGUCUCGUAGAGGGGGGUAGAAUUCCAGGUGUAGCGGUGAAAUGCGUAGAGAUCUGGAGGAAUACCGGUGGCGAAGGCGGCCCCCUGGACGAAGACUGACGCUCAGGUGCGAAAGCGUGGGGAGCAAACAGGAUUAGAUACCCUCGUAGUC